UACGGAAGGCAGCAGUAGGGAAUCUUCCGCAAUGGACGAAAGUCUGACGGAGCAACGCCGCGUGAACGAUGAAGGCUUUCGGGUCGUAAAGUUCUGUUGUUAGGGAAGAACAAGUACCGGAGUAACUGCCGGUACCUUGACGGUACCUAACCAGAAAGCCACGGCUAACUACGUGCCAGCAGCCGCGGUAAUACGUAGGUGGCAAGCGUUGUCCGGAAUUAUUGGGCGUAAAGCGCGCGCAGGCGGUCCUUUAAGUCUGAUGUGAAAGCCCACGGCUCAACCGUGGAGGGUCAUUGGAAACUGGGGACUUGAGUGCAGAAGAGGAGAGUGGAAUUCCACGUGUAGCGGUGAAAUGCGUAGAGAUGUGGAGGAACACCAGUGGCGAAGGCGACUCUCUGGUCUGUAACUGACGCUGAGGCGCGAAAGCGUGGGGA
rnacentral:rRNA from 1 species